UACGUAGGGUGCGAGCGUUGCCCGGAUUUAUUGGGCGUAAAGGGCGCGUAGGCGGCUACGCACGUCCGUUGUGAAAUCGCUCGGCUCAACUGGGCGGGGUCAGCGGAUACGGCGUAGCUGGAGCAAGCUAGGGGGCAAUGGAAUUCCCGGUGUAGUGGUGGAAUGCGUAGAUAUCGGGAGGAACACCAGUGGCGAAGGCGGUUGCCUGGAGCUUUGCUGACGCUGAUGCGCGAAAGCGUGGGGAGCGAUCAGG
rnacentral:rRNA from 1 species